UCGGGUUCUGGGCCACAUUGAAGUUGCUCUCCUGCUGAGUCCGAGAUCCUCAGCCUGGGUUUACUACUUCCACAGCUGCACCCGCACCGUUACUCCCCUUUCCCCCAAAUCCCAUGGCCAUAGCAACCAGCAAGCCGAAAAUAACCAGGAAUGGGUCUGCUUACACAGAAGGAAAGAAAGUGAGAAUAUUGAUGUCAUACAUUGCUCAAGGUGGCCCUGGGUGGAAGCCUGAAGAC